ACCUAAAUCUAUAAACAGAAACCUUAACAAACUAACCUAGCGUCUCAAUCCUUCUAGUUUCCCCCAAACAACAGAUUACUAACACCUUCAAACAGAUCUAUGUCCUUCCUUCCAAAGCUCACAUCGAAAUUAAGGAGAGAGAAAGUGAAAGUGAAAGAGGUGAAGAUUAUUGUUACCGAUUGAAGUAGAUCAAAGCUUAAACUGGUGUGUUGUUUGUUUCUCUCUCUAAAAGUCGCAAUCGGCUUCGUUGUUGAGUUGGAUUGGUUUAUGCAACAGUUAAUGGGGUCGGUGUAGCCAAUUGCUUCAGUUGCAGAAUAUCUUCUUGUUGGAUGAAUUUGAGAGGAAAGAAACAGGUAAAGGUUUUCGACUAUUCAAGCAUGCAACGCAUAG
rnacentral:lncRNA from 1 species